UCUGGCUUCAGACUGCACCACAGAAAUCCUGCCCGAGUUUCCAGCCUUUGGACUCAAGACCUCAGCUUUUAUGUGAAUCUCCAGCCUACCAGCUUGCCCUACAGAUUUCAGACUUGCUAGCCCCCACAAUCAUAUUCAUCAUCAAGCUCUACAAGAUGGCCUUUGGCAGCUAACCAAGCUCACAUCCUCCCAAGUUCAAGUGCAAAAGUGAAGAUAGCAUCUCACCCACAAAGGUUCAAGAAAGACAGAAUUGUAUAACGAAAUAAAAAUGUGUAUGCAUAGGAACAGAGGCUUAAAAGUGACUGAUGUGUUUCAAAGCAGGCAAAG